rnacentral:lncRNA from 1 species
UCUGAAUUUCUAUUAUUCAAAGAUUUUUGUCAUGCCUUUCUCUCCCAGAUUAGGAAAAUUCUGCUCUAAGAACUUUCUUUCCCACAGACACAAUUAACACCAAACUCACUCUGUUAUGAUCUAGUGGGUAAACGAAGCGUGGGUUCACAGCUGCUUCUCACAGUAGUGUUCUUUUCUUACCAGUCGCUUAUUAUUUUGUUAUACUGGAACCAGUUAGCUUGUUUUUCCAGACAUGGUUAUUUUCCAAGCUAAAUGACUACUUAUAGCUUUUUUUUUUUUUUGGCUUGUUUUCUAAGUUUCAGCCAAAGAGAUUCAGUCAGUAGCAAGAAUAAGCAGAGGGGUGCACAUCUUCUGGUUUGUUUCUUUGUUUUAAAUGUUAAAAUAUAAAGACCUUGAAAGCUAUAGGGGCAUCUUUGUUAUGGAACUAAAUUCCAUGAUGUUUUGAAGUGCUCUGAUACCAUCUUGCUUGGGAAAAAACAACAACAACAAAACACUUGUUUUGCCCUGAAAGCUGAGCUCAGUUAAUGUCCAGCAGGCAGAGCAGUGUUUAGGGCCUAGCUGACAGGAGCAAGGCUAAGCCAGAAUGUUGAAUAACUACCCAAGGCACAUACACUGUCCGUUUUACGUCCCAGCUGAAGAAGCAGAUGAUGAAUGCACCCAAUAAAGGCUGCCUCCAAAUGUUUAGUAGAGCUGACAGCUGUGACCCCGCUGGCACUCCGGCCCUCACACAGGGCCACACGCAGCGUCCCACAGCCGUUCUGCCCACCCGCGGCCCUGCUCAGAAGUCGGCAUGGCCAUACAGGGACGGCUCCUCUGCACUUGCCACUGUUCCCAUGGUGCAAUGUAUGGGCAAACCAAGCAUGUGUGUGAGGCCUGUUCCUGCUGCCGAGGGUUUUCCAGAUGACACAGCUUAAAACCAGGAACAUCAAGUAAAAUAACUACUGCUGAGAGGGAAUAAAAGUUGGCAGUAAGAUGGGUUUCUGCCUGAAACCAGAGGUGUGGUGCAAAUCCUCGGUUGCUGUGACCUGCUUUACCCCUGCUGGAAAAGAAGCCACAGAUACAUGUAAGUCAGCUUUCCCCUCAUAAAAUCUGCUGUGUAGAAGCAAUAAUGGUAUGAUUUCCAGGUUUUUUUUCCAGCACAGACUUUCUUAAAAAUGGGUAUUUCAGCUCCAUAAGGUCAGCUUAACGCUAUCAGUUUUCAGAUGGUCAUAUGGUUUAGGCAAGACCCCUCAGUACAGUAAGGCACAGUCCCAUGCUUGCAAACAAUAAACAAAGUGAUGUAGUGAUCCUCAACAUAGCAGUGCCACCAGUGCCCCACUAUGUUACCCCACUAGCCAGCAGGGCCAUGUGCAAAGAGACCAGAGACCUUGAAAGUCCCUUCAAACUGAAACAACUCACGAUUCUAAGAUUUAAUUAUCAGAAGCAAUUGGGUAUUGCAGGUGAAAAGUGAGCAUUUCUCAUUAUGCUGCUGCUUUCAAUGUUCUCUAAUGACCAAGUAGGACUUUUAAUUUCCAUGCUUUCUGGUUAUUACUCUUUUUUCAGCUUCAUACAAUCUAAACUCCAAGCUUUCAGACUUAUCCUCCCUGGCAACUAUUGUUAUUCUUGCUUUCUAGUUCUUAAUUAAUAUUUGCCAUGCUCUUACUAAGGUAAGUCUGUACUUUCUCGUUAUAUGAAAUUAAAAGUAGGUGAGCUUAGUUACCAACUAAGAGAAGCUUUAGAAAGCCAUAGGACACCUUCAUAUGUGGAUUUAUUUUUUUUUUGAUUUUGAUUCUCAGGAGUGCCCUGAAGACCUUCUAUCUAACCUGUCAGUCAAAUGAAUCAGUGAGUCAUUGUGUCAGAAAUACAGAGUCUUGCAUGCUGUACUCUGUGGUGAGUCCAUGAUUUUCCUGAUUACUGCACACAAACAACACUUCUUCGUAGCUGUGUGUUGCUGAUGAAUGAAUGCAAAAUAAGAUGAGUGAAAAAACUUCUGCUUCAGCUUUUGUGAUUGCUGUUAGGAAGAUGUUGAUUCAAUUCCUUUUCUUUGCCUCAUGCUCCCUGGGUUAGCAGAAGAGGCAUUAGAAAGGUGAGGCAAUCUGCCUAAACAGGAGAAAGAGCAUCUUAACAGCAGAGCUUCUAGCUGAGUGAAGAGCAUGCAGGCGAAGAAAGCAGGAAGAUCUGUGGAAUAUGGGAGAAGACAAUCCACAGACUUAUGGGAUGGUUUGCAUAGACAUACUGAAGGCUGCCAUUAUGGUGGGUGGAUUGAGUGUUCUGAUGAACCUCCUUGGAUAUUUAUAACUUGUGUACUCCGCUGAUAUCAUUAUAUAUAUGUCAUAGAAACAAACAGCAAUUUGGGAAAGGGAACCAAUGACCUCUGAAGCCUCAGAGGUUUUCUUGUACCCAUUACUGCCCCAAAUGUAUUCCUAAGUAUCACAUCACACAAGCAUGCUUCUCUCCCCUGGACUGCCAUGAGAGCUCAGGCUGCCGAGGCAUCCAUGGGAGGCUCCUUGCAUGCUGCAGGACAGGGCCAAGAGGCAGGCAGCCAUGUGCAGGGUGACGCCCUAUGUGUGCAGCCUGCUGCAGCUGGGUCUCAGCAGAGCCACGUGCUGCUGCUGUGGCACCAAAGCACACCAAGCCUCAUUGGCCAGCACCUGAUUUUUUAAUGCCGUUGUUUAUGUAACUGCAACUUUAAAUGGUUUCAGAUAACUGGAUUAGUGAGGUUAGACGCAAUAAAGUUAUCUGAGACAGGAUCAGACUAAAGGGCUGUCUCUGACAAUGGCCACUACUGACUUGAAGAAUAGAUUGUACAGCAGUGCUUCCAAACUGACACCCUCUGAGCUUUAGCAGUCUGUGCCUCAGGAUGAAUUCAGCCAAGAGUGAUAUCUGUGCUUAACAGAUAUGUAAGAUCCCCACUGAUGAUGGGAGGAGUUUUGCAUGAGAAAAAGUUCCAGCCAUCCCUACUGAGCUAAUGAAAAAUUUUGUGCAGUACUUCUCUGCAUUUGGCCACAUCUGAUUCUUCUUCUCAUACACAAAAGCAACGGUCAAAAUGAUAACACCAGAACUUCCAGACCCAUAUGAACAGAAUGUGUCAUCAAAACCCAUAAAUGGAGAAAAAGGACUCAUAGGCUAUGGUGCAUGUCUUGAGGAGCAAAAGAAAAAAAAAAUAAAUAAGGCUUUAAUAGGUUACUUUAUGGAGGGAAGGAUUUUCAGUUCCUUCUAAAAUAGAUAGUUUUGAAUAGUUCAUUUCACAAAACAUUAGGAAGGAAAGAUUGGAGGAAAUCUGUAUUUCUCAGCUUCAAAAUUGAGCUAUAGGCAGAGCGUUUGCCAGCUCAUUUUUCUUUUUUGCUGGAAACAGACAUUUGUGAGUUGUGGAAAACAAGCAGUGGGAGGAGGGAGGAAAUUGUCUAAGCCUGCAUAAGGAGUUUAGAUAGUAUACCUGUAUAAUUUAUAAAGAGCUUUGAUACCUAAGAAGGCCAUUGUGGAUACACUGCACAGUUCUCACCUUGUGCCCGGUUGAGCCAGGGGCAUCCAUAGAUGGUCGGCUUUUGUCUGCCCCAAGGACAUUGCAGUGACAGCAUAUGUAAGUGAACUAUCCUAAAUCCUAGUACCUCCUUUUGUAACUCAACUCCAGCUAUCAGAAGAUGCUAGAAAAUUAAUGUUAGUGAUGGGCUCACUAAUAGAACCCAAAGCAUUUAUGGGGACCUAAGGGCUCACAGCAGUGCCAUCAGCACUCUCAUAAACAUAGUGGAGUUUCAUAGGAGUGAAAAUGCACAUCUUGUGAAAUUAUUUUCAUGAUGGUGCCAUAUGGGCUGGAAUGGUUUUGAGAUUUUUUUUUACCACACUCUUCAUGCAACUAACUAAACUCAGAAACAUGGGCAGAGAGGGGGCACUGUGAGAAGGCCGUGCAAUAAGGAAGUGGAAUUACAGCAUUCUCCCUGGAAAAAGAGUGGAUACUUCAGGGUAUGUGCUAGUUUUGAGGCUGUGCGGUGCUUAGCAGCUUGCUAGGGUAAACUCACAACAGGAUACCACAGGGGAAGGCAGGCUACAAUUUUUUAUAGGUCAGUGUUUUAUGGGCUGCUUAACUGAGAUGACUGUGUACUUCAACACUGAGAGAGCCAGGGGAAAGUCUCCUGCUUACUUCCAGCCUAGAGCUGGAAGCACAGCACAUCAGAGAUUGCUCAGUCCUCUGACAUCGGAUCUGUCUCCAACACAGCAGGCUCUACACCAUUAUCCAGUACAAGUCCUCAAUGCAUGCAAUUUCCAAUAGUUUUUCUGAUUGUGCCCAAAAAGUAAAUUUUUCUUAUUGCUUAGUUUGCUUCCUAGUUGCCUCACACUAAGUUACCUUCAAAUUUAUGCACUUUGUAAACUUGACCAAAAUAAAACAGCCAAGAAAACACAGAAAUUGAGAUAAAGUUGUGAAAUGCAUAGCUGCAUUGUCUAGGAGUACAGCAGGAGUAAAGUACGUGGCUUUAUGGCAGGAGCUAGACUUUGUUUUCUCAAAUGCUAAAGACAUUAACUAUGAGAUAAUAAUUUCUUCUCUUAUCAAUUGCACGUUCCAUUAGGCAACCACUUUGUCUAUUUCUGUUUGAGAAGCUACAGUUAGGAAGGCUCUCAGUGCCUAAUUGCUUUGGUUUAAU